CCUACGGGAGGCAGCAGUGGGGAAUAUUGGACAAUGGGGGCAACCCUGAUCCAGCCAUGCCGCGUGUGUGAAGAAGGCCCUCGGGUUGUAAAGCACUUUCAGUGAGGAAGAACGCCUGGUGGUUAAUACCCAUCAGGAAAGACAUCACUCACAGAAGAAGCACCGGCUAACUCCGUGCCAGCAGCCGCGGUAAUACGGAGGGUGCGAGCGUUAAUCGGAAUUACUGGGCGUAAAGCGCGCGUAGGUGGCUUGAUAAGCCGGUUGUGAAAGCCCCGGGCUCAACCUGGGAACGGCAUCCGGAACUGUCAAGCUAGAGUGCAGGAGAGGAAGGUAGAAUUCCCGGUGUAGCGGUGAAAUGCGUAGAGAUCGGGAGGAAUACCAGUGGCGAAGGCGGCCUUCUGGACUGACACUGACACUGAGGUGCGAAAGCGUGGGUAGCAAUCAGGAUUAGAUACCCCAGUAGUC
rnacentral:rRNA from 1 species